rnacentral:rRNA from 1 species
GUGAGGAAUAUUGCGCAAUGGAGGCAACUCUGACGCAGCCAUGCCGCGUGCAGGAAGAAGGCGCUACGCGUUGUAAACUGCUUUUAACCGGGAAGAAACCCCAGGACGUGUCCUGGGUUGACGGUACCGGAGGAAUAAGCACCGGCUAACUUCGUGCCAGCAGCCGCGGUAAUACGAAGGGUGCAAGCGUUAUCCGGAUUCAUUGGGUUUAAAGGGUGCGUAGGCGGAGCGUUAAGUCAGUGGUGAAAUCCUGCAGCUUAACUGUAGACUUGCCAUUGAUACUGGCGCUCUUGAGUGCGCUUGAAGUGGGCGGAAUGUGCCGUGUAGCGGUGAAAUGCUCAGAUAUGGCACAGAACACCAAUUGCGAAGGCAGCUCACUAAGGCGAUACUGACGCUGAGGCACGAAAGCGUGGGGAUCGAACAGGAUUAGAAACCCCUGUAGUCC